rnacentral:rRNA from 1 species
UACGUAGGGGGCAAGCGUUGUCCGGAAUCAUUGGGCGUAAAGAGCGUGUAGGCGGUCCGAUAAGUCCGCUCUGAAAGCCCGGGGCUCAACCCCGGGAGGCGGGCGGAUACUGUCGGGCUAGAGUCCGGAAGAGGCAAGUGGAAUUCCUGGUGUAGCGGUGAAAUGCGCAGAUAUCAGGAGGAACACCGAUGGCGAAGGCAGCACUCUGGGACGUGACUGACGCUGAGACGCGAAAGCGUGGGGAGCAAACAGG